CCUUAGAUGUUCUGGGCCGCACGCGCGCUACACUGAUCAAGUCAACGAGUUUACAACCUUGGCCGGAAGGUCUGGGUAAUCUUUUGAAACUUGAUCGUGCUGGGGAUAGUCCAUUGCAAUUAUUGGACUUCAACGAGGAAUUCCUAGUAAGCGUGAGUCAUCAGCUCGCGUUGAUUACGUCCCUGCCCUUUGUACACACCGCCCGUCGCUACUGCCGAUUGAAUGGCUUAGUGAGGCUUUCGGAUUGGAUCUGAGCAGCUGGCAACAGCAGCUUGGAACUGAAAAGUUAUCCAAACUUGGUCAUUUAGAGGAAGUAAAAGUCGUAACAAGGUU
rnacentral:rRNA from 1 species